CGUCAGUCUCUAGCAAAUUAUAGCGUCAGACUCUAGCAUAUUUUAGCGUCAGACUCUAGCAAAUUAUAGCGUCAGACUCUAGCAUAUUUUAGCGUCAGACUCUAGCAAAAACUAGUUCUUCAGCAGUCCAAAAACGUCACAGCAAAGUGUAUGGAAACCCUAUCGCCCCCUCCUUCUAUUCAAUAUCUCCUUGCUAAAUACCAUGACACUAAAGAAAGAGCGUUUGAAAGAAAAAGAAGACUUGAAACAUGGUUAGAAAAAUCUUUCAUAAAUCCUCGUCUUCGACAUAUUGAGAAAAAAGCUGAGCGUGCAAAACAACGAUGUUUGCGAGAUACAAAUCCAGCGAAAUCUGGUAUUUCAUUUCAGGAACAUGAUCUUCCGCGCUAUUUUAGUUCAGAUUCAUUCGAAUUUAUAGCACCGGAGAAAAUCAAAUUUCAAGAGCACUGGGAAUCAAGGGAUACUAAGUUUUCCAUCAGUGAAAAUGCAACUAACAUUAACCACAUAAUUCCAUACCAAGUCCAUACAAACGUACUGCACGUUCUACUCUGCUCUACAGAUGUACUCACUGUAGACACUUUCUACCUUGUCCGUGUAACCACUUCAGUAUCUGCAUUAGAUCAGAAGAAUUUUAGUUACUGCUCCAUCGAAACUACAUUGGUAUUUUUUGAUGAUUGCGUCAACACUACAAACAACAGGAGCAGAUUUUUCUCCGUGUCAAGUUCUAAUGUAUGUGGAAGUGAGGAAGAUGAGUGUUGGGAGUAUCUAAACGAUGAAGAAUAUCAGUCAGACAAUUCAGAAGAAUGGGUGUACGAAGAAUAUGCUAUUGAGGAGGUUGUUCCUGAUUUUCCUUGUAAAAAGCUACAGAGUCCUUGGUCAUCAUCGGAAAUAAGAUUUCCUUUGCCAAGAGAAUGUAUGGAAAGUAGUUCCAGAUUAGAAGCUUUGUUUCAAGAUUUACUUGACAAAGAAAGCAGUAUUCUGAUGGAUAUUCAAUCAGACGAGGAUAUUCCUAUAGAAAAGAGAAAAGAGCUCAAACCAAGCAUUUUAAAAUCUAAUUGUCCAAAGGAUAAACAGGGCAGAUUGCAUGGACAGGGGGAAAUCUUUUACUCCAAUGGAUCCAAAUUUACAGGAAGAUUAUUUCAUGGAUGUAGAGAGGGAGUGGGCGUUUUGGAAUAUUUAAAUGGGGAUAUGAUCACAGGAGAUUAUAAGAGGGAUAAACUGAAUGGUUGGUGUGAAUUUGUAUCUGAAAAUACUGGCCUCUGGAGGCAAAAUUAUUUCAGAGAUGGCUAUGAAUGUGGAUACUACAGGACUAUUUAUACAGACAGUACAGUCGAAUUUGGUAAAAUUGGAUCUAAUUCAGUUUGGAGGUUUUUAGAAGGAGGGGCUGCAAUGUUCGGAACAAUAAAUAAAAAUGGAAAAUUCGAGGGUCAUGACAUUUUAUACCUCUACCCUGGUUAUAGAAUCUGUAUUAAUGGCGAGUAUACCGAAGGCAAGCUAAAAUCUGGAUAUGAAUGCAUUUUAAAAAAGUUAAAAAUCAACAAUGGAAUGCCGAGGCCGGAAAUAUGGAAAUUAAGAAACACAAGAACACUGUCCUAUGAGUUUCCUGGCACACAUUGUCCUGCAAAGAAUUUGCAUUUGCGAGAUAUAAUUGAUAUUAUCAAUGUGUAUGUUGAUCAAUCUAAUAUACCUUACGCUGGGGAAGGGCUUUUUGCAAAGAAAUUUAUUAAAAAAGAAUGAUGUCAUCUUUACCUUGAACAAUUGAAUAGAUUCAAUCUUUUAUCAGGAGAAUAUUUGAUUCAUGUCAGGAGAACAUUUGAUUCAAUUUUAUGUCAGGAGAAUAUUUGAUUCAAUUUUAUGUCAGGAGAAUAUUUGAUUCAAUUUUAUGUCAGGAGAAUAUUUGAUUUAAUUUUAUGUCAGGAGAAUAGUUGAUUCAAUUUUAUGUCAGGAGAAUUUUUGAUUCAAUUUUAUGUCAGGAGAGCAAUUAAUCCAAUUUUAUGUCAGGAGAACAAUUAAUCCAAUUUUAUGUCAGGAGAGCAAUUAAUCCAAUUUUAUGUCAGGAGAGCAAUUAAUCCAAAAUUCUGUCAGGAGUACAAUAAAUCAAAUUUUAUGUCAGCAGAACAAUUAAUCCAAUUUUAUGUCAGGAGAUCAAUUAAUCCAAUUUUAUGUCAGGAGAACUUGUUGUUUUAUUCAACGGUGCACGAAAAAGGAAAAUAUCUAGGGAACACCAGUUUGAAGAAUUCAGUGAUUACUGUAUACGUGUGGACUCCGU
rnacentral:misc_RNA from 1 species